rnacentral:rRNA from 1 species
GACAGAGGCCCCAAGCGUUAGGCGGAAUCACUGGGCUUAAAGCGUGUGUAGGCGGACGCCUAAGUGUCUUGUGAAAUCCCACGGCUCACCCGUGGAACUGCUGGGCAUACUGGGCGUCUUGGGCCAACUAGGGGCAGCCGGAACAAGCGGUGGAGCGGUGAAAUGCGUAGAUAUGUGGAGGAAUACCGAUGGCGAAGGCAGCCUCCUGGGCCAACACUGACGCUCAUGCACGAAAGCGUGGGGAGCAAACAGG